AACGAAAGAGGGAGGAAGGAAGAACACAUGCAAGUCGAACGAAGUCUUCGGACUUAGUGGCGCACGGGUGCGUAACGCGUGGGAAUCUGCCCUUGGGUACGGAAUAACUCAGAGAAAUUUGUGCUAAUACCGUAUAAUGUCUUCGGACCAAAGAUUUAUCGCCCAAGGAUGAGCCCGCGUAAGAUUAGCUAGUUGGUGGGGUAAAAGCCUACCAAGGCGACGAUCUUUAGCUGGUCUGAGAGGAUGAUCAGCCACACUGGGACUGAGACACGGCCCAGACUCCUACGGGAGGCAGCAGUGGGGAAUAUUGGACAAUGGGCGAAAGCCUGAUCCAGCAAUGCCGCGUGAGUGAUGAAGGCCCUAGGGUUGUAAAGCUCUUUUACCAGGGAUGAUAAUGACAGUACCUGGAGAAUAAGCUCCGGCUAACUCCGUG
rnacentral:rRNA from 1 species